UACAGAGGUCCCGAGCGUUGUUCGGAUUCAUUGGGCGUAAAGGGUGCGUAGGCGGCGGGCAAGUCUGAUGUGAAAUCCCGGGGCUCAACCCCGGGCCUGCAGUGGGUACGGGCAGACUGGAGUACUGCAGGGGAGACUGGAAUUCCUGGUGUAGCGGUGGAAUGCGCAGAUAUCAGGAGGAACACCGGUGGCGAAGGCGGGUCUCUGGGCAGUAACUGACGCUGGAGGAGCGAAAGCGUGGGGAGCGAACAGG
rnacentral:rRNA from 1 species